rnacentral:rRNA from 1 species
AGCGAACGCUGGCGGCAGGCUUAACACAUGCAAGUCGAGCGGGUGUAGCAAUACAUCAGUGGCAGACGGGUGAGUAACGCGUGGGAACCUUCCCAAUGGUACGGAAUAGCUCAGGGAAACUUGAGGUAAUACCGUAUACGCCCGAAAGGGGAAAGAUUUAUCGCCAUUGGAUGGGCCCGCGUAGGAUUAGCUAGUUGGUGAGGUAACGGCUCACCAAGGCGACGAUCCUUAGCUGGUCUGAGAGGAUGAUCAGCCACACUGGGACUGAGACACGGCCCAGACUCCUACGGGAGGCAGCAGUGGGGAAUAUUGGACAAUGGGCGCAAGCCUGAUCCAGCCAUGCCGCGUGAGUGACGAAGGUCUUCGGAUUGUAAAGCUCUUUUGGCGGGGACGAUAAUGACGGUACCCGCAGAAUAAGCCCCGGCUAACUUCGUGCCAGCAGCCGCGGUAAAAC